rnacentral:rRNA from 1 species
UAGGGAAUCUUCCGCAAUGGGCGAAAGCCUGACGGAGCAACGCCGCGUGAGUGAUGAAGGUCUUCGGAUCGUAAAACUCUGUUAUUAGGGAAGAACAAAUGUGUAAGUAACUAUGCACGUCUUGACGGUACCUAAUCAGAAAGCCACGGCUAACUACGUGCCAGCAGCCGCGGUAAUACGUAGGUGGCAAGCGUUAUCCGGAAUUAUUGGGCGUAAAGCGCGCGUAGGCGGUUUUUUAAGUCUGAUGUGAAAGCCCACGGCUCAACCGUGGAGGGUCAUUGGAAACUGGAGAACUUGAGUGCAGAAGAGGAAAGUGGAAUUCCAUGUGUAGCAGUGAAAUGCGCAGAGAUAUGGAGGAACACCAGUGGCGAAGACGACUUUCUGGUCUGUAACUGACGCUGAUGUGCGAAAGCGUGGGGAUCAAACAGG